rnacentral:rRNA from 1 species
UACAGAGGGGCAAGCGUUGUUCGGAAUUACUGGGCGUAAAGGGCGCGUAGGCGGCCUUCUAAGUCGAACGUGAAAUCCCCGGGCUCAACCCGGGAACUGCGUCCGAGACUGGAAGGCUUGAAUCCGGGAGAGGGAUGUGGAAUUCCAGGUGUAGCGGUGAAAUGCGUAGAUAUCUGGAGGAACACCGGUGGCGAAGGCGGGUCUCUGGGAAACAACUGACGCUGAGGAACGAAAGCGUGGGUAGCAAACAGG